rnacentral:rRNA from 1 species
CCUACGGGAGGCAGCAGUAAGGAAUCUUCCACAAUGGACGAAAGUCUGAUGGAGCAACGCCGCGUGCAGGAUGAAGGCUUUCGGGUCGUAAACUGCUUUUAUACGGGAAGAUUAUGACGGUACCAUAUGAAUAAGGACCGGCUAACUACGUGCCAGCAGCCGCGGUAAUACGUAGGGUCCAAGCGAUAUCCGGAAUUACUGGGCGUAAAGCGUGUGUAGGUGGAUUAAUAAGUGUGAUGCGAAAUCCGGCGGCUCAACCGUUUGGACUGUGUCGCAUACUGUUAGUCUAGAGGACGGCAGAGGUAAGUGGAAUUACGGGUGUAGCAGUGAAAUGCGUAGAUAUCCGUAGGAACACCAAUGGCGAAGGCAGCUUACUGGGCCACACCUGACACUGAGACACGAAAGCGUGGGGAGCGAACAGGAUUAGAUACCCUGGUAGUCCACGCCGUAAACGAUGCAUACUAUUAGUAUGGGGUAUCGACCCCCUGUGCUGAGAGACUACGACGAUAAGUAUGCCGCCGUCGGGAGGUACGAGCGCGACGACUUAAACCUAACGAAACGGAAGUUAGUACGGCGUGAGACGUGCCGACGGACGACGACGAGGGAGGUUAGG